AACGAACGCUGGCGGCAGGCUUAACACAUGCAAGUCGAACGCCCCGCAAGGGGAGUGGCAGACGGGUGAGUAACGCGUGGGAAUCUACCCAUCUCUGCGGAAUAGCUCCGGGAAACUGGAAUUAAUACCGCAUACGCCCUACGGGGGACAGAUUUAUCGGGGAUGGAUGUGCCCGCGUUGGAUUAGCUAGUUGGUGGGGUAAAGGCCGACCAAGGCGACGAUCCAUAGCUGGUCUGAGAGGAUGAUCAGCCACAUGGGGACUGAGACACGGCCCAAACUCCUACGGGAGGCAGCAGUGGGGAAUAUUGGACAAUGGGCGCAAGCCUGAUCCAGCCAUGCCGCGUGAGUGAUGAAGGCCUUAGGGUUGUAAAGCUCUUUCACCGAUGAAGAUAAUGACGGUAGUCGGAGAAGAAGCCCCGGCUAACUUCGUGCCAGCCGCCGCGGUAAAAC
rnacentral:rRNA from 1 species